UGAUAGCUGUGAAGCGUGAGGUUGCUGCCGCGAGGCAGGUUUUUCCGUGGAGCGAAUGUCAAGAGGCCGGA
rnacentral:ncRNA from 1 species